rnacentral:telomerase_RNA from 11 species
GGCUUUUUUUCUUUUUUCUUUUUUUUUUUUUAAAUCAUAAAAAACCCCAGAACCCUCUUAGGAGAUGCAUUUGUUACUUUGGUCUGAAAGCAAAACUGAAUAAUUGUUAAGCAGUUGUCAUUUUGCUAGGUUAUUUCACAGUCCUAGUGAGCAGGGCAGAUGAACCCUUUGCAUUU